UCCUGUGGUCAGAGAAGAUUUGAUUCCUAGUAAUGCAAAGUAAUGAAUUGAAGACUGUGAGUGCAAGGUCAUAGAUAGGGUGAAAAUAAAUAUUUUUGAGUAGUUUGUCAGUCAAGGAGGAGCGCUCCAGCUCCAGCUGCUCCUGGCCUCACCAAAAAUGAUGUGCUCUUUCCCAGUAAGCAAAACAAAAUUGAAAAACUCUGGAUGCUGGAAAACAGGGAAAAAAAGACAGAAAUUGCUGGAGAAACUCAGCAGGAGUCUUCAAUGAUACAACAUUGACAGCUGCUUAUAAACAGAAGCACUUACUUGAACAGCUCGCCCACCGAGUGAUUGAUCAAGAUUGACUGUGAGGAAUGCUGACAUGGUCAGUUCAUCUUUAGUUGCAUGGGCUCCUUGCCUGAAAUAAAUCAAACUGAUCUAA